rnacentral:misc_RNA from 1 species
CGGUGCUUGUAGAAUAAAUUAGAUCUACUACCCAUUCUCAUUCUGGAAGGCUUAUUUCCAACAGUUACCCACCCACAAUGAAUAGACCUAAACAACUAGCCAAGUACUAAGAUAUGUUUAUCGAGUAAGUAGCAAACUCGGGGAAACUAGAGCUUUGAAAUGGCUGAAGCAGGCAAGCUGGAUCUUGCAGGGAGCUUUAGGUCUUCCCACUCUUCGUCUUCAAUCCUAGAGAAGUACCUCUCAACCAUAGCAUCAGUGACGAGCCCCAGAUUAGAGGGUUCCCACUUUGGGUUCCGGUCCUUAUCCAACAGUAUAGCUCGGCAACCCUCAACAAAAUCUUUGCUGACUUCCCCCCGCAAGACAUGACAAACCAUUCUGUACUCACGAAUGAGACACUGG